AAGCUGCCCCCAUGGGGUCGCACCGGGAAAACCGCAAAAAACAAAGAUAAAGCGCGCUUCGUGGUCUUUAUCCGGGAGGUAAAGCAGAGAUAUGGCUGGGAGAAGAGACCAAGGUCGCUACAGGGGAUGAGUGAAAGGAGUCGGAGGACUUGGGACUCCUCCAGCGUAUUUCCUGGACCCGCCUAACAUGCUCGCUGCUCCAGUCACAUACGUGAAUUUUGUGUGGACUUAAGGAAACUCAUCAAGGAAUGUAAUUAUAUUUCAGCAACUGAAGUUGAUUGAGUUACAUGUCAGUCACAUAUAUUUUCUCCACAACAAUGUAAUGUGGGAUAUACUGUCGUUACUUUCAUUUUACCCAUGAGAAAAGUGAGGCGAAGAGGCUGAGUGUCACAUCCAAGGUGGAACAGCCGGGGGCAGCUGGAAUGCAAGCCUCGGCAGACUGAUUUGAAACGUUGCUGCUGAGUGCUAAACCAGCAAACCUCAACCUCUAACGCAUCUCUCCAUUAGGGACGCGAAACCCGUGGAAGAGGGGAGGGGUUACGGCUGCCAUCUGCUUCCACAUUUAUCUUCCCUUCUCCGGGGCCCCAAACCUCCCUUUCUUCUUCGAGCAACAAAACAAAAGCUCCCAUUCACAUGAAUAGAGACAAGUAGAUACUACUCUGCGGGGGCUGUCGACAGCCAGGCAGAGCUCUCCUUCUGUCUUUGAUUAAACGCAUUCUAAAUGUCC